GAUGAACGCUGGCGGCGUGCCUAAUACAUGCAAGUCGAGCGAACAGACGAGGAGCUUGCUCCUCUGACGUUAGCGGCGGACGGGUGAGUAACACGUGGAUAACCUACCUAUAAGACUGGGAUAACUUCGGGAAACCGGAGCUAAUACCGGAUAAUAUAUUGAACCGCAUGGUUCAAUAGUGAAAGACGGUUUUGCUGUCACUUAUAGAUGGAUCCGCGCCGCAUUAGCUAGUUGGUAAGGUAACGGCUUACCAAGGCGACGAUGCGUAGCCGACCUGAGAGGGUGAUCGGCCACACGUGAACUGAGACACGGUCCAGACUCCUACGGGAGGGAGCAGUAGGGAAUCUUCCGCAAUGGGCGAAAGCCUGACGGAGCAACGCCGCGUGAGUGAUGAAGGUCUUCGGAUCGUAAAACUCUGUUAUUAGGGAAGAACAAAUGUGUAAGUAACUAUGCACGUCUUGACGGUACCUAAUCAGAAAGCCACGGCUAACUACGUG
rnacentral:rRNA from 1 species